AUCGGAAUGUGGCUCAAGUUCGGGAGGCGUUACCUGCGGAGGGUUUGAGGCAGGCCCAAGAGCGAGCCCAUGGUCUUCCGACGCGGGGCCAGGGGCGGGCCCCAGGAUCCGGAGCUUCGUGCGGGGCCGAGUCCAGGUUUGGGGCCCGGGAGGCGGGGCCAGUUAGGGCGACUGUCCCUGGGAUCGUCGGGUCAGGCCUUGGGCUAACGUAGGCACUCUCGCAGUUCCUCCGCCUUCAGGAAGGUCUUUUCAGCAGGGGCCUUACGGGUGCAUGCUUCGGUCCUGGAGGCCUUAUCCUAGCCUCCUCUCCAUCAGCGCCACCCGUCUGGGGCCCGAAAGGAGGGAGCUUUCCCUCUGUCCCCCAGCCUUUGGACUGUCACCAAACAAGCCAUUCGUUCAUCAAAUACUUUUUAAGCGCCUACCAUGUGCCUGACAAGGGAGAUGUAACGGUGAGAAAAACUAGGUGUGGUCCAGGCCCUUCAGGGGCUCAGGUGCUCGUGGAAGAAGUGGACAUUGAAGUACUUAUCACACAAAUGAGGAUAAAAGUACGAUAGCGAUAUCUACCACGAAGGUGAGCAGACAGAGCUAGCGGGGCUUGCAGGAGGAGUUUUGAUCUUGCAGGGACAGGAAGGAGGAGUUAACUCCUGCGGGGUGGGAUUGGGGGUGGUGGUGAUAUAGACGUGGGGACAGAGUGGAAAACAACAAAAAUAUAAUUAUUUUAGUUCAAAGUUAUUGUGUCUUGAGUUGAAAGGCAGGGCAGUUAGCAACACAGCUUAGAUUUCAGUACUGCCCCUGAAAUCUGAACUGUGUUCAAAGUCUAAAACGUUUACCUUAGCAAAUUCCUCAUCAAACUCCAUUUGGAAGAGUCCCGAGAGCUAAUUUGUUAAGUAUACUUGCAAAAGGUAGAUGAGGAGACAGAUAAAAUCUUAUUACCUCUUUCAGAUGAGAGGCACUUGAGCCCUGCUCAGCUAUGAGAAUAAGAGAGGGGAAUUAAUUCUAAUUGAAUACACUUGUUCUCUUAUAGCUGUUGUUCCCCACCAGAACCAAAUGAGCGCAAGAUCUGACAAAGAAAAAAAAAGGUUCAUCUUUUAUUCCUCCAAACACUUUCAUUUAAAUCAAGAGGAUGGGAUGUGGUUAUUGCUGUGUUUUUAGACAGAAUCAACGGUUUCUGGGUCUGAGAUGUUGCAUACACCUUCUCAGUCCCUGUAUCCUGAGAUGGAGUCACCUGAGAAUCCACAGCAAGUCCUAACCAGGGAUGGGUCUGGGUGAUUAAGGAAGGUUGGCUUCAGAACUGGGCCAGGGGCACUGCUUUGCUUUUGCUGUUUUGAUCAGCUCUCUGCCUGAAGGAGACAAGAAAAACCAACGGGAACAGCUGGGGAAACUGAGUUACAGAGCUUGUCUGCACUGAGUCAUCAGGAGCAAAUGCUAGAUCAGAUAGGGUCUCUCUCUCUGCCACCCAGGCCAGAGUGCAGUUGACGCAGGGCAGGGGAGCCCCGAAGUGGAGCAUAGUGUGUCCGGAACUGGUGGGUUCUUGGUCUCACUGACUUCAAGAAAGAAGCCGCGGACCCUCGCGAAACUCCUGGAGGGCAGAGGCAUGCCUGCCAUCUUCAUCAUUGCAUUACCACCACCCAACACUAUCGGGGGACCUGCCCUGAUAAUCAGUCUACAGGUGUAUCCAGCAGCUCCAGAGAGACAGCGACCAGCGAGAAGGGGCCAUGAUGAUGGAGGUGGUUUUGUCAAAACGAAAAUGGGGAUAUGUAGGGAAAAGAAAGAGAGAUCAGACUGUUACUGUGUCUACAUAGAAAGGGAAGACAUAAGAGACUCCAUUUUGAAAAAGACCUGUACUUUAAACAAUUGCUUUGCUGAGAUGUUGUUAAUCUGUAGCUUUGCCCCAGCCACUUUGCCCCAACCACUUUGACCCAAUCUGGAGCUCAUAAAAACAUGUGUUGUAUGAAAUCAAGGUUUAAGGCAUGUAGGGCUGUGCAGGACGUGCCUUGUUAACCAAAUGUUUGCAAGCAGUAUACUUGGUAAAAGUCAUCACCAUUCUCUCAUCUCAAUAAACCAGGGGCACAAUGCACUGUGGAAAGCCGCAGGGACCUCUGCCCUUGAAAGCUGGGUAUUGUCCAAAGUUCCUCCCCAUGUGAUAGUCUGAAAUAUGGCCUCGUGGGAUGAGAAAGACCUGACGGUCCCCCAGCGCGACACCCAUAAAAGAUCUGUGCUGAGGUGGAUUAGUCAAAGAGGAAAGACUUGCAGUUGAGAUAGAGGAAGGCCACUGUCUCCUGACUGCCCCUGGGAACUGAAUGUCUCGGUAUAAAACACGAUUGUACAUUUGUUCAGUUCUGAGAUGGGAGAAAAACCGCCCUAUGGUGGGAGGCGAGACAUGUUUACAGCAAUGCUGCCUUGUUAUCCUUUACUCCACUGAGAUGUCUGGGUGGAGAGAAACAUAAAUCUGGCUUACAUGCACGUCCAGUCAUAGUACCUUCCCUUGAACUUCAUUAUGACAUGGAUUCUAUUGCUCACGUUUGUUGCUGACCUUCUCCUUAUUAUCACCCUGCCCUCCUACUACAUUCCUUUUUGCUGAAAUAAUGAAGAUAAUAAUCAAUAAAAACUGAGGGAAUUCAGAGACCUGUGCCAGUGCAGGUCCUUAGCAUGCUAAGCGCCGGUCCCCUGGGCCCGCUGUUGUUUCUCU
rnacentral:lncRNA from 1 species